rnacentral:sRNA from 22 species
CCCUAGCCCCGAUAGUAGUGGAAAUCCUUUUGUGCCGGGGUUCGGCACAAAAGAUUGCAACGAAUAGCGGGAUUAGCU